CAAAAGCAAAACUCCAUCUCAUAAUAAUAAUAAUCUAUAACAAAGAUGAAAAAUUAACAGUUUCAUGGUUUUAAAGCAAACUGCUUGUUGAUUAUUUAAAAAGUUGAAUUAAUGAGUAACCACGUCUGCAUCUCAUGCUAAAAUUAAUCUAGAGUGAGUCCAGAGAAACUUAGCAGCUGGGCCAAUAUUCAGGCCUGGCUCAAGUGCUCUAUUCAAGGAGGUUGGUUCAGUACAUCAGCUUUCACUUAUAAAAUGGAUGGGCUGGUCUGAAGGUAGUGAGUUAUCUCAACUGAUUGUUCACAGUCAGUUACAGAUGAAACCCCUUAUUCUGCUCUUUCUCCCCUUCUCACUACUGCUAUUGAGUAGUCUUAAAAAAAAAAAAAAAGGACAGCAGGCAGCCAUUAACAAGAAUGAGCUUUGUAUGGGCAAGGAAAGACGUCUGUGAUGUUACUAAGUUAAAAAAAUAAACAUGUAAAACAGCAUACCUAAUGUGAUCUCAUUUAUAUUUGUGCAAAUAUGUGCUAAU
rnacentral:lncRNA from 1 species